rnacentral:rRNA from 1 species
AUACGGAGGUUGCGAGCGUUAAUCGGAAUUACUGGGCGUAAAGGGUGCGUAGGCGGCUUGAUAAGUCGGAUGUGAAAGCCCCGGGCUUAACCUGGGAAUUGCAUUCGAUACUGUCAGGCUAGAGUAUGUCAGAGGUUGGCGGAAUUCCUGGUGUAGCGGUGAAAUGCGUAGAUAUCAGGAGGAACACCAGUGGCGAAGGCGGCUAACUGGGACAAUACUGACGCUGAGGCACGAAAGCGUGGGGAGCAAACAGGAUUAGAAACCCCAGUAGUCC